GAUGAACGCUGGCGGCGUGCCUAAUACAUGCCAGUCGAGCGAACAGACGAGGAGCUUGCUCCUCUGACGUUAGCGGCGGACGGGUGAGUAACACGUGUAUAACCUACCUAUAAGACUGGGAUAACUUCGGGAAACCGGAGCUAAUACCGGAUAAUAUAUUGAACCGCAUGGGUCAAUAGUGAAAUACGGUUUUGCUGUCACUUAUAGAUGGAUCCGCGCCGCAUGAGCUAGUUGGUAAGGUAACGGCUUACCAAGGCAACGAUGCGUAGCCGACGUGAGAGGGUGAUAGGCCACACUGGAAGUGAGACAGGGUCCAGACUCCUACGGGAGGGAGCAGUAGGGAAUCUUACGCAAUGGGCGAAAGCAUGACGGAGCAACGCCGCGUGAGUGAUGAAGGUCUUCGGAUCGUAAAACUCUGUUAUUAGGGAAGAACAAAUGUGUACGUAACUAUGCACGUAUUGACGGUACCUAAUAAGAAAGCCACGGCUAACUACGUG
rnacentral:rRNA from 1 species